UACGUAGGGUGCAAGCGUUGUCCGGAAUUAUUGGGCGUAAAGAGCUCGUAGGCGGUCUGUCGCGUCGGAUGUGAAAAUCCAGGGCUCAACCCUGGACCUGCAUUCGAUACGGGCAGACUAGAGUUCGGUAGGGGAGACUGGAAUUCCUGGUGUAGCGGUGAAAUGCGCAGAUAUCAGGAGGAACACCGGUGGCGAAGGCGGGUCUCUGGGCCGAAACUGACGCUGAGGAGCGAGAGCGUGGGGAGCAAACAGG
rnacentral:rRNA from 1 species